rnacentral:rRNA from 1 species
AAGUCGUAACAAGGUUUCCGUAGGUGAACCUGCGGAAGGAUCAUUAUUGAGUUUGGGCCAAUUGGCCCUCUCCCCCAAACCCCUAAAAUCAUAUAGUCUGAGGCUCUAAUUCAAUUGAUUUAAAACUUUUAACAACGGAUCUCUUGGCUCUAGCAUCGAUGAAGAACGCAGCGAAAUGCGAUAACUAGUGUGAAUUGCAGAAUUCAGUGAAUCAUCGAGUCUUUGAACGCACAUUGCGCCUACUAGUACUCUGGUAGGCAUGCCUGUUCGAGCGUCAUCUUAUAUACCUCAAGCUUAGGCUUGAUAUUGAGCAUUCUCAGCUGAGAUGUUUUAAACUAGUACCUGGCUGCAUUCUAUAGCAUCUAAAGCGUUGUAAAACCCCCGCUUUAAUGGUACUAGAUUGUGCUGCCACUAUAGAUCACUAUAGAAAACCCACAAUUUGACCUCGGAUCAGGUAGGGAUACCCGCUGAACUUAAGCAUAUCAAUAAGCGGAGGAAAAGAAACCAACAGGGAUUGCCCUAGUAACGGCGAGUGAAGCGGCAAUAGCUCAGAUUUGAAAUCUGGUGUAGUAAUGCACCCGAGUUGUAAUUUGCAGAGGAUGUUUUUGAGACAACACCAAUUCAAGUUCCUUGGGACUGGGCGUCAUAGAGGGUGAGAAUCCCGUUUAUGGUUGUGUGUUGAUUUCUAGGUAAAACUCCUUCAAUGAGUCGAGUUGUUUGGGAAUGCAGCUCAAAGUGGGAGGUAAAUUUCUUCCAAAGCUAAAUACAGGCUAGAGACCGAUAGCGCACAAGUAGAGUGAUCGAAAGAUGAAAAGCACUUUGGAAAGAGAGUUAAACAGCACGUGAAAUUGUUAAAAGGGAAGCGCUUGCAAUUAGACUUAGUCGUGAAUGCUUUACCAAACCUUUGGGCUUGGAAUACUCAUUUGCAGCUAGGCCAGCGUCAGUUUAGGCGGUUGCUAGAAGGUUUUAAGAAUGUAGCAUCUUUCUCGGAAGAUGUCUUAUAGCUUGGAGCGAAAUGCAGCCAGCCUAGACUGAGGUCCGCACUUUUGUUAGGACGCUGGCAUAAUGGUUGCAAGCGGCC